UGUUAAUUCCAGUAAGAUAUGUUUGAUAUUCUUGGUUGUUGCAUUUAUAAAGUACACCCAGGAAUCAAACAUAUUAUUAUUGUGAUUGGAC
rnacentral:pre_miRNA from 2 species